rnacentral:lncRNA from 1 species
GUCUUUCUUAGUAGCCACUUAGUCACAAACACUGGCCAAAUAUUAGUUUUUUGCUUUUUUCACACAAAAACAAAUAUGAACGCUAACUUUGGCCAGUUUUUGUGACUAAGUGGCUACUAAAAAAGACUAAAUAUACCCCACUUUCAAUACCUUGGGUUGUCUACUUUUUCAAAUGUUAUGCCAUUAUGGGGGUAAUUCUCAUUCCUGGGCUACCACACCGUCUCAAAGGUAACAUUACUAAUCUGGCAACUUUCAAUUUAAAAAUGGAACGUUCUAUAUUUGACCCUGUAACUUUCCAAAACACCAUAAAACCUGUUAAUGGGGGGUACUGUUGUACUCAUGAGACAUCGCUGAUUACAA